rnacentral:rRNA from 1 species
CCUACGGGAGGCAGCAGUGAGGAAUAUUGGUCAAUGGGCGCGAGCCUGAACCAGCCAAGUCGCGUGAGGGAGGACGGCCCUACGGGUUGUAAACCUCUUUUGCCGGGGAGCAACGGGCGUCACGUGUGGCGCCACUGAGAGUACCCGGAGAAAAAGCAUCGGCUAACUCCGUGCCAGCAGCCGCGGUAAUACGGAGGAUGCGAGCGUUAUCCGGAUUCAUUGGGUUUAAAGGGUGCGCAGGCGGGCCUUUAAGCCGGCGGUGAAAUCGCGGGGCUCAACCCCGCCGAGCCGUCGGAACUGGGGGCCUUGAGUGCGGCGGAGGCAUGCGGAAUGCGCGGUGUAGCGGUGAAAUGCAUAGAUAUCGCGCAGAACCCCGAUUGCGAAGGCAGCGUGCCGUGCCGCCACUGACGCUGAGGCACGAAAGCGCGGGGAUCGAACAGGAUUAGAUACCCGGGUAGUC